rnacentral:rRNA from 1 species
CCUACGGGGGGCAGCAGUCGAGAAUCAUUCACAAUGGGGGAAACCCUGAUGGUGCGACGCCGCGUGGGGGAAUGAAGGUCUUCGGAUUGUAAACCCCUGUCAUGUGGGAGCAAAUUAAAACGAUCGUACCACAAGAGGCAGAGACGGCUAACUCUGUGCCAGCAGCCGCGGUAAUACAGAGGUCUCAAGCGUUGUUCGGAAUCACUGGGCGUAAAGCGUGCGUAGGCUGUUUCGUAAGUCGUGUGUGAAAGGCGCGGGCUCAACCCGCGGACGGCACAUGAUACUGCGAGACUAGAGUAAGGGAGGGGGAACCGGAAUUCUCGGUGUAGCAGUGAAAUGCGUAGAUAUCGAGAGGAACACUCGUGGCGAAGGCGGGUUCCUGGACAUUAACUGACGCUGAGGCACGAAGGCCAGGGGAGCGAAAGGGAUUAGAUACCCUAGUAGUC